CAGCCGCCACGGUAAUACGUAGGGUGCAAGUGUUAAUCGGAAUUACUGGGCGUAAAGCGCACGUAGGCGGCUUGGUAAGUUAGAGGUGAAAGCCCGGAGCUCAACUCCGGAAUUGCCUUUAAGACUGCCGAGCUAGUAGGUGAGAGAGGUAAGUGGAAUUCCGAGUGUAGAGGUGAAAUUCGUAGAUACUCGGAAGAACACCAGUGGCGAAGGCGGCUUACUGGCUCAUUCUAGACGCUGAGGUGCGAAAGCGUGGGGAGCAAACAGGAUUAGAUACCCGAGUAGUCCCUGUCUCUUAUAC
rnacentral:rRNA from 1 species